UACGGAGGGGGCCAGCGUUGUUCGGAAUCACUGGGCGUAAAGGGCGCGUAGGCGGCUCGGUAAGUAGGGGGUGAAAUCCUGCGGCUUAACCGCAGGGCUGCCUUCUAAACUGUCGAGCUUGAGCACGGUAGAGGCAGAUGGAAUUCCCGGUGUAGCGGUGGAAUGCGUAGAGAUCGGGAAGAACAUCAGUGGCGAAGGCGGUCUGCUGGGCCGUUGCUGACGCUGAGGCGCGACAGCGUGGGGAGCAAACAGG
rnacentral:rRNA from 1 species